rnacentral:rRNA from 1 species
CACGUAGGGCGCAAGCGUUGUCCGGAAUUAUUGGGCGUAAAGCGCGUGUAGGCGGUUGGGUUAGUCUGCUGUGAAAGCUCCGGGCUUAACCUGGAGAGGUCGGUGGAUACUGCCUGACUUGAGGACGGUAGAGGGGGGUGGAAUUCCCGGUGUAGCGGUGAAAUGUGUAGAGAUCGGGAGGAACACCGGUGGCGAAGGCGGGUCUCUGGGCAAUUCCUGACGCUGAGGCGCGAAAGCGUGGGGAGCAAACGGG